AGAGGAAGUAAAAGUCGUAACAAGGUCUCCGUAGGUGAACCUGCGGAGGGAUCAUUACACAAAUAUGAAGGCGGGCUGGAACCUCUCGGGGUUACAGCCUUGCUGAAUUAUUCACCCUUGUCUUUUGCGUACUUCUUGUUUCCUUGGUGGGUUCGCCCACCACUAGGACAAACAUAAACCUUUUGUAAUUGCAAUCAGCGUCAGUAACAAAUUAAUAAUUACAACUUUCAACAACGGAUCUCUUGGUUCUGGCAUCGAUGAAGAACGCAGCGAAAUGCGAUAAGUAGUGUGAAUUGCAGAAUUCAGUGAAUCAUCGAAUCUUUGAACGCACAUUGCGCCCUUUGGUAUUCCAAAGGGCAUGCCUGUUCGAGCGUCAUGUGUACCCUCAAGCUUUGCUUGGUGUUGGGCGUCUUGUCUCUAGCUUUGCUGGAGACUCGCCUUAAAGUAAUUGGCAGCCGGCCUACUGGUUUCGGAGCGCAGCACAAGUCGCACUCUCUAUCAGCAAAGGUCUAGCAUCCAUUAAGCCUUUUUUUCAACNNUUGACCUCGGAUCAGGUAGGGAUACCCG
rnacentral:rRNA from 1 species